rnacentral:snRNA from 1 species
GGAUGUGAGGGGUGAUCUGUCAGACCAGGAUUGAUUUGGCUGAUGGCUGAUCUGGCUAGCUAGGCAGGUGUCCCCUUCCUUACUGCUCCAUGUGUGUCCCUCUUGAAGCUGUGCAGUAGAAGAAAAUGAACUUCUUCAAAUAGAGACAGACCUGUCUUUGGUUGAGGGUAUAUGAGUAGCUUCACUAACCUGCUAGAAGCUCCAAAUAUCUCAGAAGCAAUGGGCAAGAAAGGUCAACUAUAGGGGGUUUGAACAUCACUUUCCAAAUGCCAAG